rnacentral:rRNA from 1 species
CCUACGGGAGGCAGCAGUGGGGAAUCUUGCGCAAUGGGCGAAAGCCUGACGCAGCGACGCCGCGUGGGGGAAGAAGGCCUUCGGGUUGUAAACCUCUUUCAGCAGGGACGAAGCCACUCGGGUUAAUAGCCCAGAGGGUGACGGUACCUGCAGAAGAAGCCCCGGCUAACUACGUGCCAGCAGCCGCGGUAAUACGUAGGGGGCAAGCGUUGUCCGGAUUUAUUGGGCGUAAAGAGCGUGUAGGCGGCCAGACAAGUCCGUUGUGAAAACUAGAGGCUUAACCUCUAGACGUCGAUGGAAACUGUUUGGCUAGAGUCCGGAAGAGGAGAAUGGAAUUCCUGGUGUAGCGGUGAAAUGCGCAGAUAUCAGGAAGAACACCCGUGGCUAAGGCGGUUCUCUAGUACGGCACUGACGCUGAGACGCGAAAGCGUGGGGAGCGAACAGGAUUAGAUACCCUGGUAGUCCACGCCGUUAAACGAGUGGUGUCGUAGGUGGUGGGGUGGUCGUACGUCCCGUCCGUCGCCGACGACGUACGCAUAAGACACCCGCCGUCGGGUACGGUACGGCCGGCGACGACGUAAACUACAAUAGAAGUUAGACGGCGUGAGACGNGCCGACGACGACCGACGAGGGAGGUAGG